CCAAUUUAGAAUUACCAAUUGGAAUUGCUUAACCCACUGUUGAGAAACUCCCUCCUUUAUGAGAGAAAUCUCUAAAAACAAGAGAAAGCUCUUGAGAGCCUCAAAUGAUAGAUUUCAAAUUCUCAAUAAGAUUUAAACCCAUCAGAUCUAAAUCAAUAAGGUUUAAAAGUGUUGGUAAAAUGUUCAUAAUAUAUUUUAUAAAAAUAUUGAGAAUUAUGGAGAUAUUAAGAGGUUUUUCGGACACUAUUGAUAAAUCUUGGUAAGAAAAUUGAUAAAAAUCGGUUUAGGGGUUAGCGCUUUCGUUUAGGGGCCGUAGCUCAGCUGGGAGAGCACCUGCUUUGCAAGCAGGGGGUCGUCGGUU
rnacentral:misc_RNA from 1 species